UCAAACGAAGGGCGAUAAUGUGAGUUGGGGGAUGAAAAUUAAAAGUUUCUGUUUUAAUCCAUGCUCCCAGGACCAACCAUGUUUGAGGCACUGAUAAUAAGAGCGCAGCUAUUCAUAAUGAGACGUAUUAUACCAAAGAAAGCGGCAGAGCAUCCACAUGUGCACACAUUGUAUCCCACCUGUUACUGCAAACAACAGCAAUGAUGAAAAAAGAAUCGAUGAAAAGGUACCUUUGUGGCAUCGCGUCUCAGCGGACUGGAGGGCAAAAAUUCUA